rnacentral:rRNA from 1 species
GACGAACGCCGGCGGCGUGCCUAAUACAUGCAAGUAGAACGCUGAAGAGAGGAGCUUGCUCUUCUUGGAUGAGUUGCGAACGGGUGAGUAACGCGUAGGUAACCUGCCUGGUAGCGGGGGAUAACUAUUGGAAACGAUAGCUAAUACCGCAUAAAAUUGAUUAUUGCAUGAUAAUUAAUUGAAAGAUGCAACUGCAUCACUACCAGAUGGACCUGCGUUGUAUUAGCUAGUUGGUGAGGUAACGGCUCACCAAGGCGACGAUACAUAGCCGACCUGAGAGGGGGAUCGGCCACACUGGGACUGAGACACGGCCCAGACUCCUACGGGAGGCAGCAGUAGGGAAUCUUCGGCAAUGGGGGGAACCCUGACCGAGCAACGCCGCGUGAGUGAAGAAGGUUGUCGGAUCGUAAAGCUCUGUUGUAAGAGAAGAACGGGUGUGAGAGUGGAAAGUUCACACUGUGACGGUAUCUUACCAGAAAGGGACGGCUAACUACGUG